rnacentral:rRNA from 1 species
AGUGAACGCUGGCGGUAUGCCUAACACAUGCAAGUCGAACGGCAGCACAGUAAGAUCUUGCUCUUACUGUUGGCGAGUGGCGGACGGGUGAGGAAUGCAUCGGAAUCUACUUUUUCGGGGGGGAUAACGGGGGGAAAGUUAUACUAAUACCGCAUACUUCCUACGGGUUAAAUCAAGGGAUCUUGGGAGCUUGCGCGAUUGAAUGAGCCGAUGUCGGAUUAGCUAGUUGGCGGGGUAACGGCCCACCAAGGCGACGAUCCGUAGCUGGUCUGAGAGGAUGAUCAGCCACACUGGAACUGAGACACGGUCCAGACUCCUACGGGAGGCAGCAGUGGGGAAUAUUGGACAAUGGGCGCAAGCCUGAUCCAGCCAUACCGCGUGGGUGAAGAAGGCCUUCGGGUUGUAAAGCCCUUUUGUUGGGAAAGAAAAGCAGCAGGUUAAUACCCCGCUGUUCUGACGGUACCCAAAGAAUAGGCACCGGCUAACUUCGUG